CAGACCCGGGCUUGGGCCCCGCGGCGCUGCGCCUCCAACCCGGAAGAACAGCCCCAACUCCGCGGCGGCGGGCGGCCACGUGACUGCAGCUCCGCUCCCACCUCGGCCCGCGCCCCUUCCCCGCCCCAGCUUUCUUCCCGCCAGGCCCCCUCCACCCGAUCGCCGCGCGCUCUCCGAACCAAAAGGCGACCUCACGAAAUGCCCCUUUGAGCUCAAAGGCUAGUUACCCCCAGGGGCCCUUCCACUCUCGGGGACAGGCGAAACCUCUUUGUCUCUGCCUCGGCCUGCGGCCCCCAGCCCAGCCUCCGCGCUUUCCCUCCGCCAGUCCUUGUCAAUCAAACCUGGUGCCAAACGCGGCAGCUGAAGUUUUCAGGGACACAUUUGCUUCUCCCCUUGAAGAACCAGUUACAAAGCGUGAUGUCCUCUCUGGGGUCCCAUCAGAACAAAGAAACAGGGAAGCAGCGGAAUACAAGAGACUGAACUGUAUCUGCCUCUGUUUCCAAAAGAUUCACGUUCAACUUUCACUCACACAAAGCCGGGAAAAUUUUACUUUUUUUUUUUUUUUUUUAGACAGAGUCUGGUCUAAAGACCCUCAUUCCAGAGAGCAUCCUGCCCCAUAUCCAGAAUGAAAUCCAUGCUCAGAGAUGCCAAGAAGAAUCUAGACAGACAGGCCUUUCUAGGAUCUGUGGGAACAUCUAAAGACCCUGUAAGAAACAUAGAAAACCCUCUCCCUCCCCCUCCCCCUCCCCCGGAAGUGAGGAGCGUCUCUGCCCGGCCGCCCAUUGUCUGAGAUGUGGGGAGAGCCUCUGCCCCGCCGCCCCGCCUGGGAUGUGAGGAGCGCCUCUACCCGGCCGCGACCCUGUCUGGGAGGUGAGGAGCGUCUCUGCCCGGCCGCCCCGUCUGAGAAGUGAGGAGACCCUCCGCCUGGCAACCGCCCGUCUGAGAAGUGAGGAGCCCCUCCGCCCGGCAGUCACCCCGUCUGGGAAGUGAGGAGGCUGUACAAGAAGCAUGAUGCCAGCAUCUGCUUCUGGUGACAACCUCAAGAAGUUUACAAUUGGCCGCGUGCGGUGGCUCAUGCCUGUAAUGCCAGCACUUCGGGAGGCGGAGACAGAUGGAUCAUUUGAGGUCAGGAGUUCGAGACCAGGCUGGCCAACAUGGUGAAACCCCAUCUCUACUAAAAAUACAAAAAUUAGCUGGGCAUGGUGGCAUGUGUCUGGAAUCCCUGCUACUCAGGAGGCUGAGGCAAGAGGAUCACUUGGAACUUGGGAGGCAGAGGUUGCUGUGAGCUGAGAUCACACCACUGUACUCCAGCCUGGGCAACAGAGUGAUACUCUAUCUCAAAAAAAAAAGAAAGAAAGAAAGAAAAGAAAAAGAAGCUUACAAUCAUGGUGGAAGGCGAAGAGGAGGAGCAGGCAUAUCACAUGGCCAAAAAGGGAGCAAGAGAAAGGUGAGAAAGACACUAGACUCUUUUUAAAACCAGCUCUCACAUGAGCUAAUGGAAUAAGAACUCACUCAUUACCACAAGGACAGAACCCAGCCAUUCAUGAGGGACCUGCCACCAUGACCCAAAAACCUCCUACUUGACCCAACCUCCAACACUGGGGAU
rnacentral:lncRNA from 10 species